ensembl:lncRNA
GGGGGAGUGCCCUGGGGAUGGGAGGAGCCUAAACCGGAUCGCUCUCUGACACUGAGGCUCAGAACCCAGUAACUGAGAAGUUUCCUCCAGACGCCUUGUCUUCUAGAAGCACCUAUUCAUUCUUAAUGCUCUGGGAAAUGAAUAAGAAAAACAAAGACAGCCUGGCAGAAAGUGGUUGUGUACGAUGUAUCAAGAUGGACCUUGGGAAACGUGGAAGGGGUACCCUCAGGAUGCCUGAGAAAAGUCUUCAAGAUGGUACAAUUCUUUUUUUAUAUAUAAGUAUUUAUUUUGGCUGUGCCGCACAUGGGAUCUUAGUCGUGGCAUGUGGGACCCAGUUCCCUGACCGGGGACUGAGCCCAGGUCCCCUGUGUUGGGAGCAUGGAGUCUUAGCCACUGGACCACCAGGGACACCCCCUAGAAUUCUACUUUAGACGGUCUGGAAUGAACAUUUAUCCUGAUUCCAUGGCCCAUCAAUACUCCAUGCAGUCCUGACUCCUCCCAGUGUUACAGGGUGAAGGUCACUCACAAAAAGUGAGCUUGGACGCAGCAGACCAAGGAGGCCCAGCCCUGGGCCUGAACUAGAGGAGACAGAGGCUUUCCUGUGCAUCUUUGCCACGAGAAACUAAAGUGUCCAAACACCUGCAGAACGGCAUCGUCUGCUGCUCUUUUUUUAGUUGUUUUUUUUUUUUUCCCUUGGCAAAUGGUCAAUAAAGCAGAAAACUCUUAUCAUCUCAAUCCUUGUUGAGAAGUUACAUACCCAUGCCCUUGGUGCCUCUGAAUUCUGUAGGCAAUGCCUAUCCAAAAAUACAAUAUUCAAAUAAGAACAAAGUGAAGACUGCUCAGCCGCUUUGGCAAGCACUCUGCUAAUAGUAAUUACUGAUGUCAUGAUUUGAUGUCUUCAGACACAUCGCAAGCCUCGUGCUGGAAAUUCGCAGUGAGAACCAGAUACAAACCUCCAUGGAUACAACAGCAGUUUACGUAUUAUCUUUGGCACGAACUUCUGCCUUCUUGUGAGCGUGAACGAAAAAAGGUGCAGACAAUCCAGCGUUUCUGUUAGGGUUCACUGAUUGGAAAGUUGGCAAUGUUAAAAUGUGUAUUUAUCAAAAUCAUGGAUUCCUUGAGGCUGGACGUAAUUUUUCCUCUCCUCUUUCUUCUGCUAAACGAGGGAGAAGGUGGGACGAGAAGGCAGAGCAAAGCAAGAGAAGCACGCACAUUUUCUUAAAUCCAGAGAUGGAAAUGGAGCCCUUCUUACUGAGCCUUCUCCAGAUGAAUGCGACCAGACAUUCCUGGAGGCAUUGCCCUGGCUUUCUUCCCUGAGUCCCUCGGCUGAACUUCUAACUCACUCCAAGGGUGUGUUGGGUCCUACCUACUUUCUUGAAAGGGGCUUGUUUUGAACGCAUAUAGCUUUCAGCCCUGCAAUUCUAUUCCUAGGAACUUACCCUAUAGUUUUAUUAGCACACAUGGAGAAUUAUAUAUAUUAUAUAUACAGUAAGACUCCUAGAGGGUGUGGAGAAAAGGGAACUCUCCUACACUGUUGGUGGGAAUGCAAACUAGUACAACCACUAUGGAAAACAGUGUGGAGAUUCCUUUAAAAAUUGCAAAUAGAACUGCCUUAUGACCCAGCAAUCCCACUGCUGGGCAUACAUACCGAGGAAACCAGAAUUGAAAGAGACACGUGUACCCCAAUGUUCAUCGCAGCACUGUUUAUAAUAGCCAGGACAUGGAAACAACCUAGAUGUCCAUCAGCAGAUGAAUGGAUAAGAAAGCUGUGAUAUAUAUACACAAUGGAGUAUUACUCAGCCAUUAAAAAGAAUAUAUUUGAAUCAGUUCUGAUGAGAUGGAUGAAACUGGAGCCGAUUAUACAGAGUGAAGUAAGCCAGAAAGAAAAACACCAAUACAGUAUACUAACACAUAUAUAUGGAAUUUAGAAAGAUGGCAAUGAUGACCCUGUAUGCAAGACAGCAAAAAAGACACAGAUGUGUAUAGCGGACUUUUGGACUCUUGAGGGAGAGGGAGAGGGUGGGAUGAUUUGGGAGAAUGGCAUUGAAACAUGUAUACUAUCAUGUAAGAAUCGAAUCACCAGUCUAUGUCUGAUGCAGGAUACAGUAUGCUUGGGGCUGGUGCACCGGGAUGAC